UACGUAGGGGGCAAGCGUUGUCCGGAUUUAUUGGGCGUAAAGAGCGUGUAGGCGGCCAGGUAGGUCAGCUGUGAAAACUCGAGGCUCAACCUCGAGACGUCGGUUGAAACCAUCUGGCUAGAGUCCGGAAGAGGAGAGUGGAAUUCCUGGUGUAGCGGUGAAAUGCGCAGAUAUCAGGAGGAACACCGGUGGCGAAGGCGGGACUCUGGGCCGAUACUGACGCUGAGGAGCGAAAGCGUGGGGAGCAAACAGG
rnacentral:rRNA from 1 species